UACGAAGGGUGCAAACGUUGCUCGGAAUCAUUGGGCGUAAAGCGCACGUAGGCGGCUUGCCAAGUCGGACGUGAAAUCCCUCAGCUCAACUGAGGACGUGCAUCCGAAACUGGCGAGCUUGAGUACUGAAGAGGAUCGCGGAAUUCCCGGUGUAGAGGUGAAAUGCGCAGAUAUCGGGAGGAACACCAGUAGCGAAGGCGGCACUCUGGGCCGGUACUGACGCUGAGGAGCGAAAGCGUGGGGAGCGAACAGG
rnacentral:rRNA from 1 species